UGUGGGUUGUGAGGACUUUUCUGCUGUGUUUAACUGCGGAGCCUGAUUCAGUUUACCAUGUACUGGUACUGGUGUACUUGGACUGGUUUUAUUACACUUUGAGGAUAAACAAGCAAAGAAGUUGAACCUGGAGCAGAUUGGGGAAGACUUAUUAGUGCACAAUGCUAACAGUAUGACAUCCAGACAAAUUUCUUUCAGUCUAGCCCGCCAUAAAUAAAAUGAGCGUCCAAACUGGGAGAGGAAAGAAGAAAUACAAGAAGCACGACUCUAACAUUUUGCUGAUCAACCAGAAGAAAGUUACAUGUUCUGUCAAAGAGUCUGACAGUAUGCUUUUGUUUUUGUUCUGAUUAAACACACAAAAUAUAACAUUUUAAGCUUUAUAGAUGCUGGUUGGCAAAUUGAAUUACCUUUGGACGGAGCCAUGCCAUUCUAGUCGAGUUCACCGCGACUGAAUGUAGCUUUAUUUAUCAUAGUGCUAUCCUCUUAUUUUAGUGUGUUUCUUAAAAUGUAGA